UGUGAGGUUUAAAACCUGAGUGAGGCUGGUGGCGGUGAUAAGUAGGUGACUGUCUUUAACACUUCAUUGUCACUGCCUUAACGAAUGCUUAGCAAAUACACAAUCUGAUUAGCACGACUCGCCACCUAGCGGAUUUGUUUGUUUGGACAAUCGACAUUUUCAAGCACAUCCUGGUUUACCUCUCCGUCUUGCUUACCUGCAGGUAUAAAAGGGAGACAACCUGGGGCCCUUGUAGCUCCUUGUCAGGUGUUUGGGUGUAUAUUCACAGCAGACUGUCAACAUGCGACACCUGGUAGUGGUUGUGGUGGUUCUGAUGGCUGUCUGUCUGAUGACCACUUCAGCGGCUGACGCUUCUGAUGAGGGCCAGGGACUGGUGCACAAGCUGAAGAGACGUCAGGCCCCUUAUUCGGCAUACACAGGGCCACUGUCUACUCGCUGGCCUUUUUGUUUCUGCUUCCCACCACCCUGUCGUUGUAUUCCUAGGGGAUAAUAAUGAAUCAUGUAGACCAACUUUUGUGAAACAUUUCAAACACCUAACUCUAAUCUACUUGACAACUAUGGUAGCACGAUUUUCACAUUUGAAUACUGACAUUAGAAUUUACAAUCCCAACACCAUACUGACUACAUUCUAAUGAUUCAUCUACAAUAAAUUUGUAAAAAUAAUUUUAGGGAUAGUUUUAAUUAUUGAAGUGUUUUCUUUUUUGUUUUUUUUUCUUUGUGACCCCAUAGUCUAGUUAUGUAAAAAGUGUGCUUUUUAUUUUUUUUACUUAUUAUUAUAUUCUUAAAAAUUAUUUCAUCGAAUUCUUACUAAUUACUAAAAUGCGGCACAGAAGAUUUCCUAAGAUUUGUAUUAUUGAUGUUUUUGAGUGGUUUGUGGUGUCAAAACCGUUGCACAAAGACGAUUUUUGACGUGUAACAUUUGGACCAGAAAAAAUUAAUUAUAGAGAGAAAUAUAGUUACUACUACUACUAAUACGCUGAUAUCAAAUGCACUAGUGUCAUAACCGGAAUAAAACAGAAGGCUCUACUUGAUUAUAGUGGAA